rnacentral:rRNA from 1 species
AUGGGACGUAUGUCUCUCCAUGGCCGCAGCCGCCGCCGUCGCCGACGCCGCCUAAAUCGCAUCGCUCGUGCCGCUACGCCGUCACAGUGGCCCGACCUUCCGCCAGACCUUCUGGGCGACGUCUCCAGACGCCUGCACGAUGCCACCGAUUUCACGCGCUUGCACGCCGUCUGCACGGCAUGGCGUGACGCGCUGCCGACGCCGCUGUGCCGCCCUCCCGUGUUCCUGCCGUGGCUCCUGUGCACGGUCACGGCCUGCGAGGGGGCCGUCCUGCACUCCUCUAUCAAGUCCUCCUGCCGCAGCAGGUGCGGUGACAUCCAUGUCGCGAAUCCGGUGGGUCCAUCAGCCGCAAGGAACUGGCUUGCCACCAUGGAUGGCACGGCCGCCUGGCUCUUGACCACAGAUAAAGGACCAGGACUCAUGGACCUCGUCACUGGAGCCUGGACCCAGCUACCAGCAUACGAUGACGACAAGUCGCCACAGCUUGAGAAUCCCCGCGGCAUCAUCUCCGGCGACGGCACCAUCCUCCUCUACGACUCUAAACGCGAAUCGGCCCACAAGCUCGCCUUCAUGGCGACCUUCUUGCGUCCGGGCGAUGUGGCAUGGACGCAGGUGAAAACCACGCUGGAUUAUUCACCAGACACUGGCAUUUGUUUCAGCGCCACGGCGGCGUAUCACGAGGGCAAGAUCCUGGUGUGCGCGGACGUGAACUACUGGUGCAUCCUCACGCCAGACGAUCAUAGCGUCACUCACCGGCUCGAGCCAUUGACGAUGUCGAAGCAUUACAGAGGGUGGUGCCAGAGAAAUAGCUACUUCCUGGAGUCUCAAGGUCAACUGUUGUGGGUGUCCUUCAUGGUCAAAUACAGGUAUGAUGAGCCAACACACAUGUUAUCUCUCGUGGUGCAUGCGUUGGAAGAAGGCAAGACGCGUUGGGCGGUGAGGGACGGCGCGAGCUUGGGAGGCCAAGUUCUCUUCCUUGGCUCCCACGCUAGCUUCGCCAUGGAUGCUGCGCAGUUGGGUGUGGAUGGCGGGUGUGCCUAUUUCAUCUUUACGCACGAUGUACUUAGGUACAACUUUGUUGACGGUGAGGUCAGUCUCGUGAAAAACCUUCCUCCAGACUGGCCUGCCAUCAAAGAAUGGGACUGGCUCCUGCCUCAGCCUACAAUUGCUUCGGUUCAGGAAAUUAGGAAAAGGCUCGGGCUUCAACAAGAACAUUGA